rnacentral:rRNA from 1 species
CCUACGGGAGGCAGCAGUGGGGAAUCUUGCACAAUGGGGGAAACCCUGAUGCAGCGACGCCGCGUGAGCGAUGAAGCCCUUCGGGGUGUAAAGCUCUUUCGGCAGGGACGAUCAUGACGGUACCUGCGGAAGAAGCUGCGGCUAACUACGUGCCAGCAGCCGCGGUAAUACGUAGGCAGCGAGCGUUGUUCGGAGUUACUGGGCGUAAAGGGUGUGUAGGCGGUGCUCUAAGUUCGGUGUGAAAUCUCCCGGCUCAACCGGGAGGGUGCGCCGAAUACUGGAGCGCUCGAGCGCGGGAGAGGAAAGCGGAAUUCCUGGUGUAGCGGUGAAAUGCGUAGAUAUCAGGAGGAACACCGGUGGUGAAGACGGCUUUCUGGACCGCUGCUGACGCUGAGGCACGAAAGCGGGGGGAGCAAACAGGAUUAGAUCCCCUUGUAGU